AUGGGCCGCUGGCGGGCUGGACCGGACCGCACCGACCAGCCUGGCGGUCCUGUUUUCAGGGACCGGACCGGCAACGGCGAAGCCCGGACCGGACCGAGAGGACCGGCAAGUGGCGAUGUGGUGACCAUGGCGGCAGGACAUGGAAAUGUAGGUGAAUCAGGCUCCAAGAAUGGGUUUGAGACCGACUUUCUUCUUGUUCCAGAAUGUAGGCGAAUCAGGCUGGCUUUCCGUUCCUUUGGCCAAUGUGGGAAGAUCUGGAGCGUCAGCUGUUCAACUUCUGUGGGAUUUCUGGGGACUCUUAGAAGAUUCAACACAUCCUCUCCUAUCCCCCUUCUCUCUAGGCACUACGUUGCGCCCACCUCCAAAUCCUGCGUUGCUGCCUCACCUCUGCAGCCUCGUUUCCGCUUGCCGCUUGGCCGACCGUACUCGCCGACGACCCGAAGCAACCAUUACGCGAUAAGUUCAGAUCCUAGAUUGGGGAUGUCCACAUGUGUACUACCUGAUGAGCUGGUGGUAGACAUCCUGUCUCGACUGCCGCUAAACUCCCAAGAACUCCCGCUGGCCUCUUGUACCGGAAAUUUGAGCGUGGCAGAGUUGCCUCCCCUCUUGGCAGUGCCAUCCAUCUCGCCAGACUGCCCUAAGAAAAUUAGAAGUGAAGAAAUUUCCAAUGCUAUUGUGUGCAAUCCAGCAACUCAAGAGUGGAUGGCACUUCCAGAUACUGAACCUGGCCCGGCCCGCUCCAAUAAUGCAUUUGAGUUGUGUUUCGAUCCAUUAUGGUCGGAACACUUCUAUGUCUUCAAAUUCCAGUCUAUCGAGGUCAUGAGCUGUAUCAACACUGAAGUUAAGCACUUCAUCUUGAAUAAAAUCCUGGCGCUAGACGCACCUGACACAUGUACACAAGGGCUCAACCAUAGGUUCAUUCAGCUGCCAGGAUAUCCAGAUAGGACGGACAUAUUUUGCUGUUAUAACGGCCGUCUUAGCCAGUCCUCAGGCGUCUUGUGCUAUGCGAAACAAGAAUGGGAUGGUUGUGCGAUAAGGAUUUGGAGUUUGGAAGGCCCCGACAGGUGGGUAGUGAAGCAUCGUCUGAGUAUGGUCGAUGUAUUUGGGAGGGACAUGUUACUCCGCACUCACAGUGAUGGAUAUUGGCAUUUCGAUUAUGACAUCAGGACUGUUAACCUGGAGAGGGAGCUGGUUAUCCUUGAUGACGAAAUUGCUGAUAAGAUCAUCUCGGUUAGCAUCAGCACUGGAAAAGGCUCACAGUUUCAAAAGAUUCCAAGAAGAUUCACUAAACUAUAUCACAGUCUAUUUUAUGUGCCGUACUAUGGCAAGCUGACCAUGUACAGAAGAAUAGCUGGCUUUCUUCUUGUUAGCUUCUUUAUGCCUUUCCUUCCUUUGGCUAUUUUCGGUAGAGGGGGGAGAUCCGAAGAAGAAACCCGUAACCGCAUUAACGGCAUGAGUGAUGCCCAGGGUGUACCAAAUCGCGAAGAAGACAAGGUUUCGUCGGAGAUCCUCAUUCCGAUGCUGAAAGCAGGCUUCUCCUUAAUAACCAUCUAA
rnacentral:rRNA from 1 species